CGGGGACUAGUGUAAUGGCUAACAUGCUCGCUUUGGGAGCGAGUGAUUCGCGGUUCGAGUCCGCGGUCCCCGA
rnacentral:tRNA from 1 species